rnacentral:rRNA from 1 species
CAGCAGCCACGGUAAUACGAAGGGUGCAAGCGUUACUCGGAAUUACUGGGCGUAAAGCGUGUGUAGGUGGUUGUUUAAGUCUGUCGCGAAAGCCCUGGGCUCAACCUGGGAAUUGCGAUGGAUACUGGGCGACUAGAGUGCGGUAGAGGAUAGUGGAAUUUCCGGUGUAGCAGUGAAAUGCGUAGAGAUCGGAAGGAACAUCUGUGGCGAAGGCGACUAUCUGGGCCAACACUGACACUGAGACACGAAAGCGUGGGGAGCAAACAGGAUUAGAUACCCCGGUAGUCCCUGUCUCUUAUAC